rnacentral:lncRNA from 1 species
GCAGGUUGCAGUGCUUACUACAACUUCGAAUACAAACUUGGCCACCGUGACAUCCCAGAUCCCGCAUUUAUCUGCUAUUUUCUAUGAGAGGAGCGAGAGAAUCUGAUGGAUGCCAAGGAGUACCUGACCCAAAUGAUGAAGUCCAAGACAGAGCUGGAGGGCCAGAUCCUAGACAUGUGGGAGUGGCUGGAGGAGGAGCAGGAAGGCAUAGUGGUUUCCCAGAGCACCAGCAAGCAUACACUAGAGGGGAGCUGAGCAACCUGAAGCAGGAUCUGGAUGGUUUCCUGGAAACCAUGCUGGCCAAGACAGAGAAGGAGAAGCAGGCCCUGGAUCACAGGGUGCACAUGCUGUAG